CAAUAGCGUAUAUUAACGUUGUUGCAGUUAAAAAGCUCGUAGUUGGAUUUCUGGAGGGAGCGUCGGCCCGUAUUUACGAGUGCGUGACGUCUCUGUCCAUCCUUGCGGGAAGGGACGGCAUUGAUUUGUUGUGUCGGAUCGCAUCAUUUACUGUGAAAAAAUUAGAGUGUUCAAAGCAGGCUUUCGCUUGAAUACAUUAGCAUGGAAUAAUAAGAUAGGACUUUGGUGCUAUUUUGUUGGUUGAGCCUAAAGUAAUGAUUAAUAGGGAUAGUUGGGGGCACCUGUAUUGCGUUGUCAGAGGUGAAAUUCUUGGAUUUACGCAAGACAAACAGCUGCGAAAGCGUCUGCCAAGGAUGUUUUCAUUAA
rnacentral:rRNA from 1 species